rnacentral:rRNA from 1 species
UACGUAGGGAGCGAGCGUUGUCCGGAUUUAUUGGGCGUAAAGAGCUUGUAGGCGGUUCAGCAAGUCGGGUGUGAAAACUCCGGGCUCAACCCGGAGACGCCACCCGAUACUGCUGUGACUAGAGUCUGGUAGGGGAUCGCGGAAUUCCAGGUGUAGCGGUGAAAUGCACAGAUAUCUGGAGGAACACCAGCAGCGAAGGCGGCGAUCUGGGCCAGUACUGACGCUGAGAAGCGAAAGCGUGGGGAGCGAACAGG